AGAGUUUGAUCAUGGCUCAGAACGUACGCUGGCGGCACGCCUAACACAUGCAAGUCGAACGAAGUAGCAAUACUUAGUGGCAGACGGGUGAGUAACAUGUAGGUAUCUGCCCUUUGGCCUGGAAUAACACGAGGAAACUUGUGCUAAUACCGGAUAAGUCUUUACGGAGAAAGCUUUAUGCACCAUUGGAUGAGCCUGCACUUGAUUAGUUUGUUGGUGGGGUAAUGGCCUACCAAGACUGUGAUCAAUAGCUGAUUUGAGAGGAUGAUCAGCCACAUUGGGACUGAGACACGGCCCAAACUCCUACGGGAGGCAGCAGUGGGGAAUCUUGCACAAUGGAGGAAACUCUGAUGCAGCGAUGCCGCGUGAGUGAAGAAGGCCCUUGGGUUGUAAAGCUCUUUCGUCGGGGAAGAAAAUGACUGUACCCGAAUAAGAAGGUCCGGCUAACUUCGUGCCAGCAGCCGCGGUAAUACGAAGGGACCUAGCGUAGUUCGGAAUUACUGGGCUUAAAGAGUUCGUAGGUGGUUGAAAAAGUUAGUGGUGAAAUCCCAGAGCUUAACUCUGGAACUGCCAUUAAAACUUUUCAGCUAGAGUAUGAUAGAGGAAAGCAGAAUUUCUAGUGUAGAGGUGAAAUUCGUAGAUAUUAGAAAGAAUACCAAUUGCGAAGGCAGCUUUCUGGAUCAUUACUGACACUGAGGAACGAAAGCAUGGGUAGCGAAGAGGAUUAGAUACCCUCGUAGUCCAUGCCGUAAACGAUGUGUGUUAGACGUUGGAAAUUUAUUUUCAGUGUCGCAGGGAAACCGAUAAACACACCGCCUGGGGAGUACGACCGCAAGGUUAAAACUCAAAUGAAUUGACGGGGACCCGCACAAGUAGUGGAGCAUGUGGUUUAAUUCGAAGAUACGCGCAGAACCUUACCAACACUUGACAUGUUCGUCGCGACUCUAAGAGAUUAGAGUUUUCGGUUCGGCCGGACGAAACACAGGUGCUGCAUGGCUGUCGUCAGCUCGUGUCGUGAGAUGUUGGGUUAAGUCCCGCAACGAGCGCAACCCUCACUUUUAGUUGCCAUCAUUAAGUUGGGCACUCUGAAAGAACUGCCAGUGAUAAGCUGGAGGAAGGUGGGGAUGACGUCAAGUCCUCAUGGCCCUUACGUGUUGGGCUACACACGUGCUACAAUGGUAUCUACAACAGGAAGCAAGACUGCGAGGUCAAGCAAAUCCUUAAAAGAUACCUCAGUUCGGAUUGCACUCUGCAACUCGAGUGCAUGAAGCUGGAAUUACUAGUAAUCGUGGAUCAGCGUGCCACGGUGAAUGCGUUCCCGGGUCUUGUACACACCGCCCGUCACACCAUGGGAGUUGGUUCUACCUUAAGGCAAGGUUUCAAACCCUUGACCACGGUAUAGUCAGCGACUGGGGUGAAGUCGUAACAAGGUAGCCGUAGGGGAACCUGCGGCUG
rnacentral:rRNA from 1 species